UGUCUUAGCAAACUUCGGUCUGAGGAAAAGGGCUGUGCCACAAGUGCUGCAGGAUUUUCUCCAGAAGAACCUGCAAGAGUUCAACUGAGCUAGGCCACAAUGCAAUAUUCUACAAGUUUGUAUUCUCCUUUGUCCGUAUUGUUCUCUUGCCUAACAUGUGCUAUACCCAUUUCUCUGUCCGUCCUAGACUGCAUCCUCACCCUUGGACCAAAAGAGGCCAUGCAAAGAACUUCUAAGGCUGAAGAUGCAAGUGACUAUCUUUUUUUAAAUUCCUGCAAUUUAGUUCUCAUGUGCAAUGACUAAACCCUUUGUCUGUCUCUUAACCUCUGCGCAGA